AGAGUUUGAUCCUGGCUCAGAUUGAACGCUGGCGGCAGGCCUAACACAUGCAAGUCGAACGGUAACAUUUCUAGCUUGCUAGAAGAUGACGAGUGGCGGACGGGUGAGUAAUGCUUGGGAACUUGCCUUUGUGAGGGGGAUAACAGUUGGAAACGACUGCUAAUACCGCAUAAUGUCUUCGGACCAAACGGGGCUUCGGCUCCGGCGCAAAGAGAGGCCCAAGUGAGAUUAGCUAGUUGGUAAGGUAACGGCUUACCAAGGCGACGAUCUCUAGCUGUUCUGAGAGGAAGAUCAGCCACACUGGGACUGAGACACGGCCCAGACUCCUACGGGAGGCAGCAGUGGGGAAUAUUGCACAAUGGGGGAAACCCUGAUGCAGCCAUGCCGCGUGUGUGAAGAAGGCCUUCGGGUUGUAAAGCACUUUCAGUUGUGAGGAAAAGUUAGUAGUUAACACCUGCUAACCGUGACGUUAACAACAGAAGAAGCACCGGCUAACUCCGUGCCAGCAGCCGCGGUAAUACGGAGGGUGCGAGCGUUAAUCGGAAUUACUGGGCGUAAAGCGCACGCAGGCGGUUUGUUAAGCUAGAUGUGAAAGCCCCGGGCUCAACCUGGGGAUGGUGAUUUAGAACUGGCAGACUAGAGUCUUGGAGAGGGGAGUGGGAAUUCCAGGUGUAGCGGUGAAAUGCGUAGAUAUCUGGAGGAACAUCAGUGGCGAAAGGCGACUCCCUGGCCAAAGACUGACGCUCAUGUGCGAAAGUGUGGGUAGCGAACAGGGAUUAGAUACCCUGGUAGUCCACACCGUAAACGCUGUCUACUAGCUGUGUGUGUCUUUAAGA
rnacentral:rRNA from 1 species